UGAUACGAACAAACCGGCGACAAUUAACCAGCGAAAAUUAACCAGCGAAAAAAAUCGGAGAACGAAUCGCACGAGCGAGGCCUUCUGCCCUCGAGCGAGCAGUCACACGCACCAGUCGCACACCAGAUCCCUGCGCCGCCGCCCUCCAUCCUUCGCCAUCGCAGAUCCAUCCCGCCGCCGCCGCUCCAUCCCUCUCUUCCCUCCAAGCUUGUCGCCGGCGGUGAAGCGUACGGCGCUCCAUCCCUUCGCCUCCAGAAACCUAUCACACGCGCCGAGGCGAGGGCCUCGUGGACGGACCCCGCCGCCGGGCAGGAGGAGUGUUCCGCGCCGUGAGGAACCCGCCACGCGCGUCAAGGCGAGGCGCCUCCUGGGUUCCGUCCGUUUUCAGAGCGAGCGCCCGCGAAUACCUAGCUAGCUGCCGCCGUCGUGACCGUUCCAGCCACCGCCAAGCCAGAUCAAACUCGGCACAGAUGCACAUGCACCGCGCGCCUCACUGAUGUGAGGAUGCAUUUCCUCAAUCCCCUCUUAAUCUCCAACAUCUCCCCUUUCCAAUGUUGGCGUACUUGACCGGAAGUGAGUGCGCGGCGGAGCAAAGCUCAGCCUGGGUCUUCAUCAACGCAAAACGGGGCAGGAGGGAGCGGGAAGUUUUUCAACCGCAUGAAUGUGGAAGGCGCUUGACAAAUCAGAGAUGUAUGAAGCUUCUGCCGAGAUGUUUGAGAGGGGCAGCAUAGACAUAAGAGGGGUUCAAUAUUGUUAACUCACAUCAUCCAGACCAGUCGAGCGGUUGUCCUUGACUAUAGUGUACUUAGGAGGAGGAGAUGAACAUGAAGAAUGAGUUCGUAAUGUGGUUGUCGUUGAUUAAUGGCACCCCCAGCAGCGGUGAUAACGACCAUGGGGAGGAGAGCACGAACAUCAACAACCUCUUGGCCUUGUUGGCUUCUCCGACAUCAAUAACGACGACCAGCUCACCAUACAGUUGCUAGAGUGCUAAAGAAUGGUUGAGAAGAACAAUUGAUUGUUGAUGGAGCCAAUCAACAAGGACGAUAAGGACGGCCACAACAGUGAGAAUAAGAAGGCGGAGCUCAUCGCCGUCUGCCGCCAGCUCUGCAGGGAGAAGAAGAACGACAAUACGUUAAUUAUAAAGAAGUCAACAAUGCCACCUGGUGUGGAAAGGGUCCUCAAGGUGAGGCAUGUGGUGCCCUUUCGGAAUGUCGUUUUCUUCUUCCUUGCAUCUCAAAUGCAAGCAACCAUGCUUCUACCAAGGCUUAGAAGAAAUGAAGAUGCUGUUGUCAAGAAUUUCACCCCACCCAUUGCAUUGGAUGUCACCUAUGGCUGCAGCAAUAGUGUGUCAAUCAAGCUCACGUGAAUUGAGCUACGCAAUGUCCUAUUAUUACUCUGUUACUCAAAGAGUUGGUAUCCCUAAAUAGUAAGAACAGAGAAGAUUCUUAGUGAGUUAUUACACGUAUUUUAUUCCGAUCUCCUAUAAAAAACUUUUGUGGUUUAAGCACAACCCAUAUUAUGGUUCUUUUAUACCAAUUAAGUUCACUAUUCAA